rnacentral:lncRNA from 1 species
UUCCCUCGGUUCCAAACAUUGCGAAAUGUCAAACCGAAGCUGUCAUACGUCUGGCUAUGGAAAAUCGAGCUGUGUGAAAACAAAUUUCUAAUUGUUGGAAAAGUGGAAAAUUUAUACUAUUGCAGCUAAAAAUUAAUGGAAAAUACUAAACCGGAAAACUGAUGGAAUACCAACGCAUUGACGAAUCGGGAGGAAAUGCAGGUGCAACGUCUCAACCGAAGAGCUGAUUUACUUGGGGAUUUCGUCCUGAGCGAUACAGGAUCACUUGAAGGAAGUUAACCCAAAUAAACCAACGACGUGAGGAAACAAAUUGACAUCUCGAACGCCGUGGCUGCCGUAACACCUCAGACUACGGGUACGACAUACUUCCAUCGAGAUCCAGCAUCAUCGAACGGAGACAAGUUGGUG